UAGGAAGGGUUAGUGGUUUCCAAUAUAAAAUUUAUGAUAUCAUAAUAAUGAUGACGUCAACAAUCGGUCCAUUGUAUCCAUAGCCUAUAUGAAUAAGUAGAUUUGGUAGGGUUAUAUAUUGGCAAUACCAAACGCUAUAAUUUGUUCCAUCAAAUUCAAAUUGUUUUUUCAGGGAUGACCCACAGAGAAGAUGUACCUUCUCAGAGAAAAACAUUCAGCUGCCAGGGCUUAUCAGCCUCAAAUCCUUUCACAAACACAGCUGAAAAGUAGAAUGAGAGAAGAGAGUUUUAAUCUAGGAAUAAAUUCCGGAGACUGGUACAUGUUAACCUUCACGUUUUCUGCUAAGACAGGCGGUUACAGAAACCCGACAAAUACAAAGAACGACCAACCUUAAGCUACGGAGUACUACACCGGAAGUAUCCAAACAAUCAAGGUGAUGCAGUUCCGAUUUGAUUUUGAAGAUCAUGUGCACUGCAACAGCUCCUGUCCAUCACGGUCAUAAUUGGAAGUGGAAAAAGACAUAACCAAGUCACCUAUCAACGAUCGUUGGUCUGGCUGUU